rnacentral:rRNA from 1 species
AUGGCUCCUCCGGCGUGGCUCCGGGAUCGAUGCUUUCGGUGUCUCUCCAAAGGUCAUCACGCUCACUCUUGCAGGGACCCAAUUCGGUGCUCAGGAUGCCUUCGUUUCGGCCACAAAGUGCGUUUUUGUCAUGCUCAGCACCGAUCCGAUCUGACUACAAAGCCGCGUGAUGAUGCUGCAAAGCCUAACCCAGCGCCUGCAUCGGAGGUUGACGCAACACCGGUUGACGUGCAAUUGCAACCCGUCCUAGCGGAGGAGACCGAGCUGCUUCGCACUGAGCUGCGCGACUGCCUUGCGCGAGUUGAGAGUGUUUUGGGGAGAGCAGAGGCUGCUCUCGCCAAACUAGAGGUUGUGCCAGCUGUGUCCUCACUUCCUGAGCUUCAGAUCGGGUCUCCUGUUGGGGAGGAAGCAAGCCUCUAUGGACAUUUCUCCCCUCGUGCUACAUCAUGUUCGCCGAUGUCUGUACUGCUCACUGGCCCUGGGUGUGUAGUCAUCGAUAAGGUCAUGGCUCCAGUGCUGGAGAUUAUGCCUGAGUUGCAGGAGCGUUGUGGGGAGCCUACUUCACCUCUUUCAAUGGUGCUUCCGAAGGAGAUGGGGCAGGUGAUGUCUGUGGGUGGCGAGGUUGAUGAGGUAGGUGCGUUGGCACCUAUCUCUGGGGCACAACUACAGGGUUUGCCUCUGCCAUGUGUGCAACUGAAGGCGCCUGAGUCCAUUGUGUCGGUGGUGCCCGUGGCUGAGCAUGUUAAUGCAGUGGUGUCUGUGAGGGAUAAGGUUGAUGAGAUUCUAUUUGAGAUACAAGUCAGCAGCUUGCUCGCACGUUUGGAGGCGGUCAGCCCUGGAUCUGGCAAGAUGAUUGUGGAGAAGGCUCUCAGGAGCAAAACUGAGUGA